rnacentral:rRNA from 1 species
UACGAAGGAUCCAAGCGUUAUCCGGAUUCAUUGGGCUUAAAGGGCGUGUAGGCGGUUUUGUAAGUCAGUGGUGAAAUCCGAUGGCUCAACGAUCGAACUGCCAUUGAUACUGCAGAACUAGAGUACAGAUGACGUUGGCGGAAUGUGUCAUGUAGCGGUGAAAUGCAUAGAUAUGACGCAGAACACCGAUUGCGAAGGCAGCUGACGAAACUGCAACUGACGCUGAUGCGCGAAAGUGCGGGGAUCAAACAGG